UGGGGAAUAUUGGACAAUGGGCGCAAGCCUGAUCCAGCCAUGCCGCGUGAGGGAUGACGGCCUUCGGGUUGUAAACCUCUUUCAGCUCCGACGAAGCGAAAGUGACGGUAGGAGCAGAAGAAGCACCGGCUAACUACGUGCCAGCAGCCGCGGUAAUACGUAGGGUGCAAGCGUUGUCCGGAAUUAUUGGGCGUAAAGAGCUCGUAGGCGGUCCGUUGCGUCUGCCGUGAAAACCCGGAGCUCAACUCCGGGCCUGCGGUGGAUACGGGCGGACUAGAGUCCGGUAGGGGAGACUGGAAUUCCUGGUGUAGCGGUGGAAUGCGCAGAUAUCAGGAGGAACACCGGUGGCGAAGGCGGGUCUCUGGGCCGGAACUGACGCUGAGGAGCGAAAGCGUGGGGAGCGAACAGGAUUAGAUACCCUGGUAGUCCACGGCCGUAAAACGAUGAGUGCUAGUCGUCGGCAGGCAUGCCUGUCGGUGACGCAGCUAACGCAUUAAGCACUCCGCCUGGGGAGUACGGCCGCAAGGUU
rnacentral:rRNA from 1 species